AUUGAACGCUGGCGGCAGGCCUAACACAUGCAAGUCGAGCGGAUGACGGGAGCUUGCUCCUGGAUUCAGCGGCGGACGGGUGAGUAAUGCCUAGGAAUCUGCCUGGUAGUGGGGGACAACGUUUCGAAAGGAACGCUAAUACCGCAUACGUCCUACGGGAGAAAGCAGGGGACCUUCGGGCCUUGCGCUAUCAGAUGAGCCUAGGUCGGAUUAGCUAGUUGGUGAGGUAAUGGCUCACCAAGGCGACGAUCCGUAACUGGUCUGAGAGGAUGAUCAGUCACACUGGAACUGAGACACGGUCCAGACUCCUACGGGAGGCAGCAGUGGGGAAUAUUGGACAAUGGGCGAAAGCCUGAUCCAGCCAUGCCGCGUGUGUGAAGAAGAUCUUCGGAUUGUAAAGCACUUUAAGUUGGGAGGAAGGGCAGUAAGCGAAUACCUUGCUGUUUUGACGUUACCGACAGAAUAAGCACCGGCUAACUCUGUGCCAGCAGCCGCCGCGGUAA
rnacentral:rRNA from 1 species